CCCCCGUGCUCCUCCGAGCUCCUUCCAUGCCCCCCGUGCUCCCUCCGUGCCCCCCGUGCUCCCUCCCUGCUCCUUCGUGCUCCCCAUGCUCCUCCGUGCCCCUCCGUGCUCCUCCGUGCUCCCUCCGUUCCCCUCGUGCUCCCUCCGUGCCCCCUGUGCUCCCUCCGUGCUCCUCCAUGCUCCUUCGUGCUCCCUGCGUGGCUCCCAUGCUCCUUCGUGCUCCCUCCAUGCACCCCUGUGCUCCUUCCGUGCUCCUCCGUGCUCCUCCGUGCUCCCUCCAUGCCCCCGUGCUCCCUCCGUGCUCCCUCCAUGGCCCUCAUGCUUCUACGUGCUCCUUCCGUGCCCCCAUGCUCCUCCGUGCUCCUUCGUGCUCCCUCCGUUCCCCUCGUGCUCCCUCCGUUCCCCUCCGUGCUCCCUCCGUUCCCCUCGUGCUCCCUCCGUGCCCCCUGUGCUCCCUCCGUGCUCCUCCAUGCUCCUUCGUGUUCCCUGCAUGGCUCCCAUGCUCCUUCGUGCUCCCUCCAUGCACCCCUGUGCUCCUUCCAUGCUCCUCCGUGCUCCUUCGUGCUCCCUCCUGGCCCCCGUGCUCCUACGUGCUCCCUCCGUGGCCCCCGUGCUCCUACAUGCACCCUCCGUACCCCCUCAUGCUCCUCCGUGCUCCUCCAUGCUCCCUCCAUGCCCUCGUGCUCCCUUCAUGCUCCUUCAUGCUCCUUCAUGCUCCCUUCGUGGCCCCCAUACUCCUACGUGCUCCCUCCGUGGCCCCCAUGCUCCUACGUGCUCCCUCCGUGCCCUCCAUGCUCCUCCAUGCUCCUCCGUGCUCCCUCCAUGCCCCCGUGCUCCCUCCGUGCUCCCUCCAUGGCCCUCGUGCUUCUACGUGCUCCUUCUGUGCCCCCAUGCUCCUCCGUGCUCCUUCGUGCUCCCUCCGUGGCCCUCAUGCUCCUACGUGCUCCUUCCGUACCCCCCAUGCUCCUCCGUGCUCCUUCGUGCUCCCUCCGUGGCCCUCGUGCUCCUAUGUGCUCCUUCCAUGCCCCCCAUGCUCCUCCGUGCUCCUCUGUGCUCCUUCGUGCUCCCUCCGUGCCCCCCGUGCUCCCUCCAUGCCCCCAUCUUCCUUCGUGCUCCUUCCGUGGCCCCCGUGCUCCCUCCGUGCCCCCCAUGCUCCUCCGUGCUCCCUCCAUGCCCCCCGUGCUCCCUCCAUGCCC
rnacentral:lncRNA from 12 species